rnacentral:rRNA from 1 species
GUAUCCUGUCUGAAUAUGGGGGGACCAUCCUCCAAGGCUAAAUACUCCUGACUGACCGAUAGUGAACCAGUACCGUGAGGGAAAGGCGAAAAGAACCCCGGCGAGGGGAGUGAAAAAGAACCUGAAACCGUGUACGUACAAGCAGUGGGAGCACGCUUAGGCGUGUGACUGCGUACCUUUUGUAUAAUGGGUCAGCGACUUAUAUUCUGUAGCAAGGUUAACCGAAUAGGGGAGCCGAAGGGAAACCGAGUCUUAACUGGGCGUUAAGUUGCAGGGUAUAGACCCGAAACCCGGUGAUCUAGCCAUGGGCAGGUUGAAGGUUGGGUAACACUAACUGGAGGACCGAACCGACUAAUGUUGAAAAAUUAGCGGAUGACUUGUGGCUGGGGGUGAAAGGCCAAUCAAACCGGGAGAUAGCUGGUUCUCCCCGAAAGCUAUUUAGGUAGCGCCUCGUGAAUUCAUCUCCGGGGGUAGAGCACUGUUUCGGCAAGGGGGUCAUCCCGACUUACCAACCCGAUGCAAACUGCGAAUACCGGAGAAUGUUAUCACGGGAGACACACGGCGGGUGCUAACGUCCGUCGUGAAGAGGGAAACAACCCAGACCGCCAGCUAAGGUCCCAAAGUCAUGGUUAAGUGGGAAACGAUGUGGGAAGGCCCAGACAGCCAGGAUGUUGGCUUAGAAGCAGCCAUCAUUUAAAGAAAGCGUAAUAGCUCACUGGUCGAGUCGGCCUGCGCGGAAGAUGUAACGGGGCUAAACCAUGCACCGAAGCUGCGGCAGCGACACUGUGUGUUGUUGGGUAGGGGAGCGUUCUGUAAGCCUGUGAAGGUGUACUGUGAGGUAUGCUGGAGGUAUCAGAAGUGCGAAUGCUGACAUAAGUAACGAUAAAGCGGGUGAAAAGCCCGCUCGCCGGAAGACCAAGGGUUCCUGUCCAACGUUAAUCGGGGCAGGGUGAGUCGACCCCUAAGGCGAGGCCGAAAGGCGUAGUCGAUGGGAAACAGGUUAAUAUUCCUGUACUUGGUGUUACUGCGAAGGGGGGACGGAGAAGGCUAUGUUGGCCGGGCGACGGUUGUCCCGGUUUAAGCGUGUAGGCUGGUUUUCCAGGCAAAUCCGGAAAAUCAAGGCUGAGGCGUGAUGACGAGGCACUACGGUGCUGAAGCAACAAAUGCCCUGCUUCCAGGAAAAGCCUCUAAGCAUCAGGUAACAUCAAAUCGUACCCCAAACCGACACAGGUGGUCAGGUAGAGAAUACCAAGGCGCUUGAGAGAACUCGGGUGAAGGAACUAGGCAAAAUGGUGCCGUAACUUCGGGAGAAGGCACGCUGAUAUGUAGGUGAAGUCCCUCGCGGAUGGAGCUGAAAUCAGUCGAAGAUACCAGCUGGCUGCAACUGUUUAUUAAAAACACAGCACUGUGCAAACACGAAAGUGGACGUAUACGGUGUGACGCCUGCCCGGUGCCGGAAGGUUAAUUGAUGGGGUUAGCGCAAGCGAAGCUCUUGAUCGAAGCCCCGGUAAACGGCGGCCGUAACUAUAACGGUCCUAAGGUAGCGAAAUUCCUUGUCGGGUAAGUUCCGACCUGCACGAAUGGCGUAAUGAUGGCCAGGCUGUCUCCACCCGAGACUCAGUGAAAUUGAACUCGCUGUGAAGAUGCAGUGUACCCGCGGCAAGACGGAAAGACCCCGUGAACCUUUACUAUAGCUUGACACUGAACAUUGAGCCUUGAUGUGUAGGAUAGGUGGGAGGCUUUGAAGUGUGGACGCCAGUCUGCAUGGAGCCGACCUUGAAAUACCACCCUU